UGAUGACUUGGGUCCAAGCCCAUCAUGGACCCAUCACUUGUGGACUAAAUCAACACAUGGAGAAGGGGUAAAACUGUCCAAAUGAAGACCACAGCUGCUGGAAGCACCCCCUACCUUUACUAAAUACACCACGGCUGAUAACUCUUUCCAGCACAUGUUAAAUGCAUUGUUCAUGGCUUUUCUGGAUGCUACUCACAGAAACCAUACUUGNUGCCACGUGCCCUCUGAUCCGUGAAUGAUGGUAGCAUAGGUCACCGUUCAGAUUUACUUGCACAGAAGAGAUAGCUUAUAAAUCUCUNCUUCUAUCUCCAUGUAAUUCACUUUUGGAAUAUUAUGAGAUUUUCUUCUNCUGAUGCAUUUUCUAGCAACUAAGUCUCUGCACCAAGAGUCUACUCCUGAGCUUUCCCGAUUCCAACUAGCUUCCUUCCGGUGGAAGGCUGCCUGAGCUAGAUCUCACCAUCACCGAGAGCUCCUCUGCCAUCAAAUUCCUCCACUNAUCCGCNUCUUCCGCUGCUNCCAAACACUGCAAGACGUCCGCUGCUUGUUCUCCCCUUCCACUGGCUGGAUCGACUUCAUCAGAAGUAGAGGAUAACAAUUAAAGUGGAGCACAACGUGUAAUUUUUUACAUGGUUUCUUUUUGUAAUUGCAAUGCAAGGCGGUUUGAAACCCUUAUAUAGGGAAUGAACUUCUGCAUUCACAAUACACCACAAGAAAAUAACACAGAAAAAUUAAGAGAGAACAAGUUGUGAGUGCAGCAAGAACUGUGUUGGUUUAAAGAAAAAUUUCAGGUCCAUAAUUUACUAGAUUUUAUAAUUAUUAUCCAUAUUUUAUAAAUCGAAGGAGGAAAAAUACAUGUCC
rnacentral:lncRNA from 1 species